UCAGCUUGUUGGUGGGGUAAUGGCCUACCAAGGCGACGACGGGUAGCCGGCCUGAGAGGGUGACCGGCCACACUGGGACUGAGACACGGCCCAGACUCCUACGGGAGGCAGCAGUGGGGAAUAUUGCACAAUGGGCGCAAGCCUGAUGCAGCGACGCCGCGUGAGGGAUGACGGCCUUCGGGUUGUAAACCUCUUUCAGUAGGGAAGAAGCGAAAGUGACGGUACCUGCAGAAGAAGCGCCGGCUAACUACGUGCCAGCAGCCGCGGUAAUACGUAGGGCGCAAGCGUUAUCCGGAAUUAUUGGGCGUAAAGAGCUCGUAGGCGGUUUGUCGCGUCUGCUGUGAAAGACCGGGGCUCAACUCCGGUUCUGCAGUGGGUACGGGCAGACUAGAGUGCAGUAGGGGAGACUGGAAUUCCUGGUGUAGCGGUGAAAUGCGCAGAUAUCAGGAGGAACACCGAUGGCGAAGGCAGGUCUCUGGGCUGUAACUGACGCUGAGGAGCGAAAGCAUGGGGAGCGAACAGGAUUAGAUACCCUGGUAGUCCAUGCCGUAAACGUUGGGCACUAGGUGUGGGGGACAUUCCACGUUUUCCGCGCCGUAGCUAACGCAUUAAGUGCCCCGCCUGGGGAGUACGGCCGCAAGGCUAAAACUCAAAGGAAUUGACGGGGGCCCGCACAAGCGGCGGAGCAUGCGGAUUAAUUCGAUGCAACGCGAAGAACCUUACCAAGGCUUGACAUGAACCGGUAAUACCUGGAAACAGGUGCCCCGCUUGCGGUCGGUUUACAGGUGGUGCAUGGUUGUCGUCAGCUCGUGUCGUGAGAUGUUGGGUUAAGUCCCGCAACGAGCGCAACCCUCGUUCUAUGUUGCCAGCGCGUUAUGGCGGGGACUCAUAGGAGACUGCCGGGGUCAACUCGGAGGAAGGUGGGGACGACGUCAAAUCAUCAUGCCCCUUAUGUCUUGGGCUUCACGCAUGCUACAAUGGCCGGUACAAAGGGUUGCGAUACUGUGAGGUGGAGCUAAUCCCAAAAAGCCGGUCUCAGUUCGGAUUGGGGUCUGCAACUCGACCCCAUGAAGUCGGAGUCGCUAG
rnacentral:rRNA from 1 species